UACGGAGGGUGCAAGCGUUGUUCGGAAUUAUUGGGCGUAAAGGGCGUGUAGGUGGCACUCCAAGUCUGGUGUGAAAGCCCACGGCUCAACCGUGGAACUGCAUUGGAAACUGGGGAGCUCGAGUGUUGGAGGGGGUCGCGGAAUUCCCGGUGUAGAGGUGAAAUUCGUAGAGAUCGGGAGGAACACCAGUGGCGAAGGCGGCGACCUGGCCAAUCACUGACACUGAGACGCGAAAGCGUGGGGAGCAAACAGG
rnacentral:rRNA from 1 species